ensembl:lncRNA
CCAGAAUGUUUAGUGCUAAGGCAGCUGCAGUAUUUCCUCCCAGGGUGCCAGGGUGCCGGUGAGUCUGGAGAUGGAGGAGAAGGCUGGAAACUGCAUCUGCAUGGCUCUUUUCACAGUAUUGAGCAGACCUCAGUUCUCUACAUCAAAGAGUGGAGCCCCUCCUGGCAGACACCCUAGGCUUCUAAAUAUCUCUUCUGAACACAACGUGGGUCACUGAUCCCAGACUAGUUCUGCAAUUGCUUGCCCCAUUGGACUGAAGCUUAAUUUUGAGGCAUCUGGAUUCAUGAACCUCUGCAUGUCCCCUUAGGGCCCGCUGCCCAUCCCCCUGUGGUGCACCCUAGUCUGGGCACCCACCUUACCCAGACUUCAAGCCACACCAGAGCUCAACCUGACAAGCCCACAGCUGAGCCUUCCUCUGAUCCUCAGUAAACAGCUUACCUAAACCUUGAGAACAACUGUGUUUGUGC